UACGUAGGGGGCGAGCGUUGUCCGGAAUUAUUGGGCGUAAAGGGUUCGCAGGCGGUCUGAUAAGUCAGAUGUGAAAGGCGUAGGCUCAACCUACGUAAGCAUUUGAAACUGUCAGACUUGAGUUAAGGAGAGGAAAGUGGAAUUCCUAGUGUAGCGGUGAAAUGCGUAGAUAUUAGGAGGAAUACCAGUGGCGAAGGCGACUUUCUGGACUUAUACUGACGCUGAGGAACGAAAGCGUGGGGAGCAAACA
rnacentral:rRNA from 2 species